GAGUCACCUAUUGUAUGAUUCCAUUUAUAUGAAAUAUCCAAAAUAGCUGUCCUGGGUGGCAUGAGAACCAUGAGCUGAGGAUUGGACAAGCUUGCUCUACAAUAUUCAAAGGCCACAGAUCAGCCCUGGGGUUCAGAGGGAUCCUGACGGCUACUCCUCAAGAUCCUCUCUGUUGUGAUUCAUCCCCCCCAGGCCCUACAGUUUCUCCUUCCUGACUCUUACAUUUCUUUGGAUGGCAUCACUAUUGCUGGAGUGCAGUGGUGUGAUCUCAGCUCACUGCAACCCCUGCCUCCUGGAUUCAAGCAAUUCUCCUGCCUCAGCCUCCCAAGUAGCUGGGAUUGCAGUACCUGUCUCCUCCCAUAGUUAGUUGCCAAGCACUGUGGAUUCUACCCCUCAGGGUCCAGACACCCAUUUUCCUUCCCACUGUUCCCUCCCCAUGGAGAAGCCUGUGGCUGACUGACAGCUCAACUUGGAGAAGGUGUUACCUGGGCCAGGUGGGGAAGGUAGGGUUGUUUGCAGAGCAAAGAAGUGAAGGAAGUAUUAACCCUUUGCAUGGCCUCCUGAGAAUCUGACAAGACGUAAAUAGCCAAGAAUAUCUGUGGAACUUAAUCAGUGAGUUACAAUAUUUAUCACUGCAAGUGUGUUGUUCAUUGACACUAUAAAGCCAUAUGGAAUUAAGCAGCCUUGAAACACAAAAUGGAGAAAGGCUAAGAGCUGAGAAUUGUUGCCUUCAGGGAAAUAUAAUCAAUGUCAAGCAAACAACCACCCC
rnacentral:antisense_RNA from 1 species